CACGUAGGGGGCGAGCGUUGUCCGGAUUUAUUGGGCGUAAAGCGCGUGUAGGCGGUUCGGUAAGUCUGCUGUGAAAGUCCAGGGCUCAACCCUGGGAUGCCGGUGGAAACUGUCGGGCUAGAGUCCGGAAGAGGCGAGUGGAAUUCCUGGUGUAGCGGUGAAAUGCGCAGAUAUCAGGAGGAACACCGAUGGCGAAGGCAGCUCGCUGGGACGGUACUGACGCUGAGGCGCGAAAGCGUGGGGAGCAAACAGG
rnacentral:rRNA from 1 species